rnacentral:rRNA from 1 species
CCCCUAGACGUUCUGGGCUGCACGCGCGCUACAAUAAUACGCACAGCGAGUAUCACCGAGCUCGAAAGGGCAAGGUAAACAAUAGAAAAGGUACUGUAAUGGUUAUAGAUCCUUGUAAUUAUUGAUCUUCAACGAGGAAUUCCUAGUAAGUAUGUGUCAUCAUCACGCACUGAUUACGUCCCUGCCCUUUGUACACACCGCCCGUCGCUCCUACCGAGUGAGUGAGCCGAUGAAACUGCCGGAUGUGGACUAUUCAUAGUCUGCAGAAGAUAUUUGAAUCGUAGCGCUUAGAGGAAGGAGAAGUCGUAACA